rnacentral:rRNA from 1 species
UGGGGGCAACUCCAGUUGAGUGGCGCACGGGUGAGUAACACGUAGGUAAUCUCCCCCCGAGUGGUGGAUAACCCUCCGAAAGGAGAGCUAAUACAGCAUGAGACCACGGGCUCGAAAGAGACUGAGGUCAAAGCGGAGGAUCGCAAGACUUCGCGCUUGGGGAUGAGCCUGCGGCCCAUCAUGGUAGUUGGCGGGGUAAUGGCCCACCAAGCCUUAGACGGGUAGCUGGUCUGAGAGGAUGAUCAGCCACACUGGAACUGAGACACGGUCCAGACUCCUACGGGAGGCAGCAGUGGGGAAUCUUGCGCAAUGGACGAAAGUCUGACGCAGCGACGCCGCGUGGGUGAUGAAGGCCUUCGGG